rnacentral:tRNA from 2 species
AAAGAAUUAGUUAAAUAUAUGUAUAACAUAAAUAUGUCAAAUUUAAAUUAUUAUUUUUAUAAUAUUCUUUU